rnacentral:tRNA from 3 species
AGGUGUAAAGCUCAGAUGGUUGAGCAGUCGACUUUUAAUCGAUUGGUCUUGAGUUCAAGUCUCAAUACACCUA